rnacentral:piRNA from 2 species
GUUGGUCCGAGAGUAGUGGUGUUU